UUUUACAAGGAUUCUGUGGGAACCGAAUGUUAGCCAAACCCUAGGUCAAAUAUUUCCUUCCAUUUGGGGAUUAUUUGAUUUGGGGAUUCUUGCCCUGAACUAGGGAUUUGAUUCUCAUUAAAUCCCUAAUUAAUUUAAAUCUCCUAAAAUUAGAAAAAUAAUUCCUUUCCCAACAAGGAAUAUUUUUCGCCAAACUCUAACCCUACAAGGCUCUAUAAAUAUGAGGCUAUGCAAAGCAUAAGGCAAGCCAUUCUAAGCUCUCAAAAAUUCCCUCUUUGCCGCUCUCUCUCUCUCUCUC
rnacentral:lncRNA from 1 species